rnacentral:rRNA from 1 species
UACGUAGGGUGCGAGCGUUGUCCGGAAUUACUGGGCGUAAAGAGCUCGUAGGUGGUUUGUCGCGUUGUUCGUGAAAACUCACAACUCAAUUGUGGGCGUGCGGGCGAUACGGGCAGACUGGAGUACUGCAGGGGAGACUGGAAUUCCUGGUGUAGCGGUGGAAUGCGCAGAUAUCAGGAGGAACACCCGUGGCGAAGGCGGCUCUCUGGGACGGUACUGACGCUGAGACGCGAAAGCGUGGGGAGCGAACAGG